CUGAGAGGAUGACCAGCCACACUGGAACUGAGACACGGUCCAGACUCCUACGGGAGGCAGCAGUGGGGAAUAUUGCACAAUGGGCGCAAGCCUGAUGCAGCCAUGCCGCGUGUAUGAAGAAGGCCUUAGGGUUGUAAAGUACUUUCAGCGGGGAGGAAGGUGUUGCGGUUAAUAACCGCAGCAAUUGACGUUACCCGCAGAAGAAGCACCGGCUAACUCCGUGCCAGCAGCCGCGGUAAUACGGAGGGUGCAAGC
rnacentral:rRNA from 1 species